rnacentral:rRNA from 1 species
GAUGAACGCUGGCGGCGUGCCUAAUACAUGCAAGUCGAGCGGACGGACGAGAAGCUUGCUUCUCUGAUGUUAGCGGCGGACGGGUGAGUAACACGUGGAUAACCUACCUAUAAGACUGGGAAAACUUCGGGAAACCGGAGCUAAUACCGGAUAAAAUUUUGAACCGCAUGGUUCAAAAGUGAAAGGCGGUCUUUGGGUCAAUUAUAGAUGGAUCCGCGCUGCAUUAGCUAGUUGGUAAGGUAACGGCUUACCAAGGCAACGAUGCAUAGCCGACCUGAGAGGGUGAUCGGCCACACUGGAACUGAGACACGGUCCAGACUCCUACGGGAGGCAGCAGUAGGGAAUCUUCCGCAAUGGGCGAAAGCCUGACGGAGCAACGCCGCGUGAGUGAUGAAGGUCUUCGGAUCGUAAAACUCUGUUAUUAGGGAAGAACAUAUGUGUAAGUAACUGUGCACAUCUUGACGGUACCUAAUCAGAAAGCCACGGCUAACUACGUG